AGUGAACGCUGGCGGUAGGCCUAACACAUGCAAGUCGAACGGCAGCACAGUAAGAGCUCGCUCUUACGGGUGGCGAGUGGCGGACGGGUGAGGAAUACAUCGGCAUCUACUUUUUCGUGGGGGAUAACGUAGGGAAACUUACGCUAAUACCGCAUACGAUCUACGGGUGAAAGCAGGGGUUCUUCGCACCUUGCGUGAUUGAUUGAGCUGAUGUCGGAUUAGCUAGUUGGCGUGGUAAAGGCCCACCAAGGCGACGAUCCGUAGCUUGUCUGAGAGGAUGAUCAGCCACACUGGAACUGAGACACGGUCCAGACUCCUACGGGAGGCAGCAGUGGGGAAUAUUGGACAAUGGGCGCAAGCCUGAUCCAGCCAUACCGCGUGGGUGAAGAAGGCCUUCGGGUUGUAAAGCCCUUUUGUUGGGAAAGAAAAGCAGCAGGUUAAUACCCCGCUGUUCUGACGGUACCCAAAGAAUAAGCACCGGCUAACUUCGUG
rnacentral:rRNA from 1 species